rnacentral:misc_RNA from 1 species
AACGCACGAGACCUGCGGACCUGCGGAGGGAUCAUUAACGCAUCUCCGGCGGCGAGGGAGUGCCCAGCUCCGGUCCCGAAAGGGGCCGUGCAGCGGGCUCGCCCGGACCGCCAAACCUUUGCAAACCCACUGUGCACUUUUGUCGGCAGAGGGCUUUGCAGCCCCGAGCCGGAUCGCAAACUCUUGUUAAACGAAUGCAUGCGGACGUCGAGCCGCCUAAUCUUUAACAACUUUCAACAA